rnacentral:rRNA from 1 species
AGAGUUUGAUCCUGGCUCAGGAUGAACGCCGGCGGUGUGCCUAAUACAUGCAAGUCGUACGCACUGGCCCAACUGAUUGAUGGUGCUUGCACUUGAUUGACGUUGGAUCACCAGUGAGUGGCGGACGGGUGAGUAACACGUAGGUAACCUGCCCCGGAGCGGGGGAUAACAUUUGGAAACAGAUGCUAAUACCGCAUAACAACAAAAGCCACAUGGCUUUUGUUUGAAAGAUGGCUUUGGCUAUCACUCCGGGAUGGACCUGCGGUGCAUUAGCUAGUUGGUAAGGUAACGGCUUACCAAGGCGAUGAUGCAUAGCCGAGUUGAGAGACUGAUCGGCCACAAUGGAACUGAGACACGGUCCAUACUCCUACGGGAGGCAGCAGUAGGGAAUCCUCCACAAUGGGCGCAAGCCUGAUGGAGCAACACCGCGUGAGUGAAGAAGGGUUUCGGCUCGUAAAGCUCUGUUGUUGGAGAAGAACGUGCGUGAGAGUAACUGUUCACGCAGUGACGGUAUCCAACCAGAAAGUCACGGCUAACUACGUGCCAGCAGCCGCGGUAAUACGUAGGUGGCAAGCGUUAUCCGGAUUUAUUGGGCGUAAAGCGAGCGCAGGCGGUUGCUUAGGUCUGAUGUGAAAGCCUUCGGCUUAACCGAAGAAGUGCAUCGGAAACCGGGCGACUUGAGUGCAGAAGAGGACAGUGGAACUCCAUGUGUAGCGGUGGAAUGCGUAGAUAUAUGGAAGAACACCAGUGGCGAAGGCGGCUGUCUGGUCUGCAACUGACGCUGAGGCUCGAAAGCAUGGGUAGCGAACAGGAUUAGAUACCCUGGUAGUCCAUGCCGUAAACGAUGAGUGCUAGGUGUUGGAGGGUUUCCGCCCUUCAGUGCCGGAGCUAACGCAUUAAGCACUCCGCCUGGGGAGUACGACCGCAAGGUUGAAACUCAAAGGAAUUGACGGGGGCCCGCACAAGCGGUGGAGCAUGUGGUUUAAUUCGAAGCUACGCGAAGAACCUUACCAGGUCUUGACAUCUUGCGCUAACCUUAGAGAUAAGGCGUUCCCUUCGGGGACGCAGUGACAGGUGGUGCAUGGUCGUCGUCAGCUCGUGUCGUGAGAUGUUGGGUUAAGUCCCGCAACGAGCGCAACCCUUGUUACUAGUUGCCAGCAUUAAGUUGGGCUCUCUAGUGAGACUGCCGGUGACAAACCGGAGGAAGGUGGGGACGACGUCAGAUCAUCAUGCCCCUUAUGACCUGGGCUACACACGUGCUACAAUGGACGGUACAACGAGUUGCAAACUCGCGAGAGCAAGCUAAUCUCUUAAAGCCGUUCUCAGUUCGGACUGUAGGCUGCAACUCGCCUACACGAAGUCGGAAUCGCUAGUAAUCGCGGAUCAGCAUGCCGCGGUGAAUACGUUCCCGGGCCUUGCACACACCGCCCGUCA